GAUCUUGAGUUCCAGUCCCAUAUGGGCUACCUAGUAAGACCUUGUCUCUAAAACGUUAGAGGGGAGGGAAGGAGGGAGGGAGGCUCUUCCCUGGGUGCACAAGACAUCUCCACAACACCUCCAAAUGUUAGAGAAACAGCUAUUAGAUCCUGGGCAAGCUGCCCGUGUUGGUAUAUACCAGUAGUCCCAGCACUCGGAAGGUAAAGGCGGGCAAAUUUCUUGCGUUCCAAGCCAGCUUGGUUUACAUGGUGAGUCCAGGAUAGCCAAGGCUACAUAGUAAGAACCUACCUUGAAAAAAAAAAAAAAGGAAAAAGCCAGGCGGUGGUUUGUGCGUAGGUUUAAGCCCUUAUCCUCAGGAAGCAGAAACAAGCAGAUUUCUUGAGCUCCAGGCCAACCUGGUGGACAGAACAAAUUCCAGGGCAGUCUGAGCUACAGAGUAAGAACUUAUCUUGAACAAAACAAAACAAAAACACAGAAGGAUGCCAGGCAGAGUGAUUGCUUCCUUAUAUUCCCAGUGCUGGCAGGGGAGGGAUGAGACUGAGUUCUGGGCUGAUCUGAACGAUAGCCUGGGACCCUGUCUCAAGAGAAAGAAAAAGAAAAAAGGAAAGAGACCAGACAGUGGGAACGUCUAUGAUUUAGGGUUCCCAUAAGGAUCCUGCUUCUGGGGAACAUCAGGUUAAGUUAGAGCCGGUAUGUACAUGUUGGCCCAGGAUGAUCUCCGAUUAUAGAACUCUGGGGAGGUGAUUCCUGGAAGUGUGCUGGUGGGAGUUGGGGAAAAUAAAUUGUAGGCUGGUACAUUGAUCCUGGUACCAAGCCUGAGUUUAAUCUCCAGAACCCACACUGUAGAAGCAGAGAACUGAGUCCUGCAAGCUGUCCUCGGACCUCCACAUGUGUGAUGGUGUCCACUCACACACAAGCAC
rnacentral:lncRNA from 1 species